UGUAGUCUGCAACUCGACUACAUGAAGCUGGAAUCGCUAGUAAUCGCAGAUCAGAAUGCUGCGGUGAAUACGUUCCCGGGUCUUGUACACACCGCCCGUCACACCAUGGGAGUCGGAAAUGCCCGAAGCCGGUGACCAAACCAAUAAGGAAGGAGCCGUCGGAGGCAGGUCUGAUAACUGGGGUGAAGUCGUAACAAGGUACC
rnacentral:rRNA from 1 species